GACGAACGCUGGCGGCGUGCUUAACACAUGCAAGUCGAACGGAAAGGCCCUGCUUUUGUGGGGUGCUCGAGUGGCGAACGGGUGAGUAACACGUGAGUAACCUGCCCUUGACUUUGGGAUAACUUCAGGAAACUGGGGCUAAUACCGGAUAGGAGCUCCUGCUGCAUGGUGGGGGUUGGAAAGUUUCGGCGGUUGGGGAUGGACUCGCGGCUUAUCAGCUUGUUGGUGGGGUAGUGGCUUACCAAGGCUUUGACGGGUAGCCGGCCUGAGAGGGUGACCGGCCACAUGGGGACUGGGAUACGGCCCAGACUCCUACGGGGGGCAGCGGGGGGAAAUAUUGCAAAAUGGGCGGAAGCCUGAUGCAGCAACGCCGCGUGCGGGAUGACGGCCUUCGGGUUGUAAACCGCUUUCGCCUGUGACGAGGCGUGAGUGACGGUAAUGGGUAAAGAAGCACCGGCUAACUACGU
rnacentral:rRNA from 1 species